AACUUUUGGCAAUGGAACUCUUGGCUCUCGCAUCGAUGAAGAACGCAGCGAAAUGCGAUACGUAAUGUGAAUUGCAGAAUUCAGUGAAUCAUCGAAUCUUUGAACGCACCUUGCGCCCCUUGGAAUUCCGAGGGGCACACCCGUUUGAGUGUCGUGAACAUCCUUCAACCUUUCUUGGUUUCUUAACCGGGGAAGGCUUGGACUUUGGGGGUCUUUCAUUGCUGGCCUCUUUGAAGCCAGCUCCUCCUAAAUGGAUUAGUGUGGUCUGCUUUGCCGAUCCUUGACGUGAUAAGAUGUUUCUACGUCUUGGGUUUCGCACUGUCGCUUUAGACCCCGCUUCUAACCGUCCUGCAUUCAAGACAGAGUUUUAAACCUUGACCUCAAAUCGGGUGAGACUACCCGCUGAACUUAAGCAUAUCAAUAAGCGGAGGCU
rnacentral:misc_RNA from 1 species